GAUGAACGCUGGCGGCGUGCUUAACACAUGCAAGUCGAACGAUGAAAGCGGGAGCUUGCUCCUGCUGGAUUAGUGGCGAACGGGUGAGUAACACGUGAGCAAUCUGCCCCGAACUCUGGGAUAAGCGUUGGAAACGACGUCUAAUACCGGAUACGACGCGCGAAGGCAUCUUCUGCGCGUGGAAAGAACUUCGGUUCGGGAUGAGCUCGCGGCCUAUCAGCUAGUUGGUGAGGUAACGGCUCACCAAGCGGACGACGGGUAGCCGGCCUGGGGGGCGGACCGGCCCCACUGGGACUGAGACACGGCCCAGACUCCUACGGGAGGCAGCAGUGGGAAAUAUUGCACAAUGGGCGAAAGCCUGAUGCAGCGACGCCGCGGGAGGGAUGACGGCCUUCGGGUUGUAAACCUCUUUCAGCAGGGAAGAAGCGAAAGUGACGGUACCUGCAGAAGAAGCACCGGCUAACUACGUGCCAGCCGCCGCGGUAAGAC
rnacentral:rRNA from 1 species